rnacentral:rRNA from 2 species
UACGUAGGGUGCGAGCGUUGUCCGGAAUUAUUGGGCGUAAAGAGCUUGUAGGCGGUUUGUCGCGUCUGCCGUGAAAAUCCGAGGCUCAACCUCGGACUUGCGGUGGGUACGGGCAGACUAGAGUGUGGUAGGGGAGACUGGAAUUCCUGGUGUAGCGGUGAAAUGCGCAGAUAUCAGGAGGAACACCGAUGGCGAAGGCAGGUCUCUGGGCCACUACUGACGCUGAGAAGCGAAAGCAUGGGGAGCGAACAGG